rnacentral:rRNA from 1 species
GACGAACGCUGGCGGCGUGCUUAAUACAUGCAAGUCAACGACUUUUAGAGUAGCAAUACUUUAAAGGAAGUGGCGCACGGGUGAGUAACACGUAGGUAAUCUGCCUUCAGGACUGACACAACUCGUCGAAAGACGGGCUAAUAUCAGAUAAUGCAGCGGCUCCGCAUGGAGACAGUUGUUAAAGUACAAGCGCCUGAAGAUGAGCCUGCGGUCCAUUAGCUAGUUGGUAGAGUAACAGCCUACCAAGGCAACGAUGGAUAGCUGGUCUGAGAGGAUGAUCAGCCACACUGGAACUGAGACACGGUCCAGACUCCUACGGGAGGCAGCAGUAAGGAAUAUUGCUCAAUGGCCGAAAGGCUGAAGCAGCAACGCCGCGUGAAGGAUGAAUGGCCUUUGGCCUGUAAACUUCUGUAAAAGGGAAAACAGUACAGGUACAUCCUGAUUUGAUUGUACCUUUGAAGUAAGCCCCGGCUAACUACGU